rnacentral:rRNA from 1 species
AAAGUCAAUUUUUACUUAACUUACACAUGCAAGUCUCCGCACCCCUGUGAAAACACCCUUUAACCCCUCCAAGGGGAAAGGAGUUGGUAUCAGGCACAAAUAUUAGCCCAAGACACCUAGCCAGGCCACACCCACAAGGGAACUCAGCAGUGAUUAACAUUGAAUAUUAGCGAUAGCUUGACUCAGUUAAAGUAUAAAGAGCCGGCUAAUCUGGUGCCAGCCGCCGCGGUUACACCACGUGGCUCAAAUUGACCUAACUCGGCGUAAAGCGUGAUUUAAGAAAAUAUUUCUGGUGUCAAAAACAUACUAAGCUGUGACACGCUUGUACCUAAGAAGAUCGAAAUCGAAAGCUACACCAACCUAAACAACUUGA